GCCGGGAAGGCGGCGGCUAUACAAGACCCUUCGGGGAAAGGCCGUCGCGCGCCGUCUCUGGCGGCGUUGUCAACUUCCCGGCGCCAGUGC
rfam:Bradyrhizobium sp. BR 10245 contig19, whole genome shotgun sequence.